AGAGUUUGAUCCUGGCUCAGGAUGAACGCUAGCGACAGGCUUAACACAUGCAAGUCGAGGGGCAGUGGGGAAGUAGCAAUACUUCCGCCGGCGACCGGCGCACGGGUGAGUAACACGUAUGGAACCUGCCCGUAGCAGGGGGAUAAGCGGAAGAAAUUCCGUCUAAUACCGCGUAAUAACUCCGAGAGGCAUCUCAUGGAGUUUAAAGGGUAACACCGGCUACGGAUGGCCAUGCGGCGCAUUAGCUAGUUGGCGGGGUAACGGCCCACCGAGGCGACGAUGCGUAGGGGUUCUGAGAGGAAGGUCCCCCACACUGGUACUGAGACACGGACCAGACUCCUACGGGAGGCAGCAGUGAGGAAUAUUGGUCAAUGGGCGCGAGCCUGAACCAGCCAAGUCGCGUGAGGGAAGACGGUCCUAUGGAUUGUAAACCUCUUUUGUCGGGGAGCAAAAGACGUCACGUGUGGCGUUCCGAGAGUACCCGAAGAAAAAGCAUCGGCUAACUCCGUGCCAGCAGCCGCGGUAAUACGGAGGAUGCGAGCGUUAUCCGGAUUUAUUGGGUUUAAAGGGUGCGCAGGCGGAAGAUCAAGUCAGCGGUAAAAUUGAGAGGCUCAACCUCUUCCCGCCGUUGAAACUGAUUGUCUUGAGUGGGCGAGAAGUAUGCGGAAUGCGUGGUGUAGCGGUGAAAUGCAUAGAUAUCACGCAGAACUCCGAUUGCGAAGGCAGCAUACCGGCGCCCAACUGACGCUGAAGCACGAAAGCGUGGGUAUCGAACAGGAUUAGAUACCCUGGUAGUCCACGCAGUAAACGAUGAAUACUAAUUGUUCGGGUCAAAUGAGAUCUGAGUGAUACAGCGAAAGCGUUAAGUAUUACACCUGGGGAGUACGCCGGCAACGGUGAAACUCAAAGGAAUUGACGGGGGCCCGCACAAGCGGAGGAACAUGUGGUUUAAUACGAUGAUACGCGAGGAACCUUACCCGGGCUCAAACGACACAGGAAUGAUCUGAGAAAUCAGACAGUCCUUCGGGACCUGUGUCGAGGUGCUGCAUGGUUGUCGUCAGCUCGUGCCGUGAGGUGUCGGCUUAAGUGCCAUAACGAGCGCAACCCCCAUCGACAGUUGCCAGCAGGUGAAGCUGGGCACUCUGUCGAGACUGCCGGCGCAAGCUGUGAGGAAGGCGGGGAUGACGUCAAAUCAGCACGGCCCUUACGUCCGGGGCGACACACGUGUUACAAUGGCAGGUACAGCGGGAAGCCACCUGGCGACAGGGAGCGGAACCCGAAAGCCUGUCUCAGUUCGGAUUGGAGUCUGCAACUCGACUCCAUGAAGCUGGAUUCGCUAGUAAUCGCGCAUCAGCCACGGCGCGGUGAAUACGUUCCCGGGCCUUGCACUCACCGCCCGUCAAG
rnacentral:rRNA from 1 species